rnacentral:rRNA from 1 species
GUAAGGAAUAUUGGACAAUGGAGGCAACUCUGAUCCAGCCAUGCCGCGUGAAGGAUGAAGGCCCUACGGGUUGUAAACUUCUUUUCUCUUAGAAAAAACUACUGGUUUCGUACCGGUACUGAUUGUACAAGAGGAAUAAGCAUCGGCUAACUUCGUGCCAGCAGCCGCGGUAAUACGAAGGAUGCAAGCGUUAUCCGGAUUCACUGGGUUUAAAGGGUGUGCAGGUGGGGUAAUAAGUCAGUGGUGAAAGCCCCCGACUCAAUCGGGGAACUGCCAUAGAUACUGUUAUUCUUGAGUGUGGUUGAGGCGGAUGGAAUAUGACAUGUAGCGGUGAAAUGCUUAGAUAUGUCAUAGAACACCGAUCGCGAAGGCAGUCCGCCAAACCAUUACUGACACUGAAACACGAAAGUGCGGGGAUCAAACAGGAUUAGAUACCCGGGUAGUCC